AUUGAACGCUGGCGGCAUGCCUUACACAUGCAAGUCGAACGGUAACAGGUCUUCGGAUGCUGACGAGUGGCGAACGGGUGAGCAAUACAUCGGAACGUGCCCGAGAGUGGGGGAUAACGAAGCGAAAGCUUUGCUAAUACCGCAUACGAUCUCAGGAUGAAAGCAGGGGACCGCAAGGCCUUGCGCUCACGGAGCGGCCGAUGGCAGAUUAGGUAGUUGGUGGGAUAAAAGCUUACCAAGCCGACGAGCUGUAGCUGGUCGUGGAGGACGACCGGCCACACUGGGACUGAGAGACGGCCCAGACUCCUACGGGAGGCAGCAGUGGGGAAUUUUGGACAAUGGGCGCAAGCCUGAUCCAGCCAUGCCGCGUGCAGGAUGAAGGCCUUCGGGUUGUAAACUGCUUUUGUACGGAACGAAAAGACUCCUUCUAAUAAAGGGGGUCCAUGACGGUACCGUAAGAAUAAGCACCGGCUAACUACGUGCCAGCCGCCGCGGUAAUAC
rnacentral:rRNA from 1 species